UACGGGGGGGCAAGCGUUGUUCGGAAUUACUGGGCGUAAAGGGCUUGUAGGCGGCCAACUAAGUCAGACGUGAAAUCCCUCGGCUUAACCGGGGAACUGCGUCUGAUACUGGAUGGCUUGAGUUUGGGAGAGGGAUGCGGAAUUCCAGGUGUAGCGGUGAAAUGCGUAGAUAUCGUAAGGAAGACCAGUGGCGAAGGCGGGUCUCUGGACAGUUCCUGACGCUGAGGCACGAAGGUCAGGGGAGCAAACGGG
rnacentral:rRNA from 1 species